rnacentral:rRNA from 1 species
AGCGUACACGGUGGAUGCCCUGGCAGUCAGAGGCGAUGAAGGGCGUGCUAAUCUGCGAUAAGCGCCGGUAAGGUGAUAUGAACCGUUAUAACCGGCGAUACCCGAAUGGGGAAACCCAGUGUGAUUCGUCACACUAUCAUUAACUGAAUCCAUAGGUUAAUGAGGCGAACCGGGGGAACUGAAACAUCUAAGUACCCCGAGGAAAAGAAAUCAACCGAGAUUCCCCCAGUAGCGGCGAGCGAACGGGGAGGAGCCCAGAGCCUGAAUCAGCAUGUGUGUUAGUGGAAGCGUCUGGAAAGGCGCGCGAUACAGGGUGACAGCCCCGUACACAAAAGCGCAUGUGCUGUGAGCUCGAUGAGUAGGGCGGGACACGUGGUAUCCUGUCUGAAUAUGGGGGGACCAUCCUCCAAGGCUAAAUACUCCUGACUGACCGAUAGUGAACCAGUACCGUGAGGGAAAGGCGAAAAGAACCCCGGCGAGGGGAGUGAAAAAGAACCUGAAACCGUGUACGUACAAGCAGUGGGAGCACCCUUCGGGGUGUGACUGCGUACCUUUUGUAUAAUGGGUCAGCGACUUAUAUUCUGUAGCAAGGUUAACCGUAUAGGGGAGCCGGAGGGAAACCGAGUCUUAAUUGGGCGUUAAGUUGCAGGGUAUAGACCCGAAACCCGGUGAUCUAGCCAUGGGCAGGUUGAAGGUUGGGUAACACUAACUGGAGGACCGAACCGACUAAUGUUGAAAAAUUAGCGGAUGACCUGUGGCUGGGGGUGAAAGGCCAAUCAAACCGGGAGAUAGCUGGUUCUCCCCGAAAGCUAUUUAGGUAGCGCCUCGUGAAUUCAUCUCCGGGGGUAGAGCACUGUUUCGGCUAGGGGGCCAUCCCGGCUUACCAACCCGAUGCAAACUGCGAAUACCGGAGAAUGUUAUCACGGGAGACACACGGCGGGUGCUAACGUCCGUCGUGAAGAGGGAAACAACCCAGACCGCCAGCUAAGGUCCCAAAGUCAUGGUUAAGUGGGAAACGAUGUGGGAAGGCCCAGACAGCCAGGAUGUUGGCUUAGAAGCAGCCAUCAUUUAAAGAAAGCGUAAUAGCUCACUGGUCGAGUCGGCCUGCGCGGAAGAUGUAACGGGGCUAAACCAUGCACCGAAGCUGCGGCAGCGAACGUAUCACCCAAGACAACUUUACGGAGUUGACGAUUGACGGAGCGAAGCGACGUCAAAGCGUUCAUUAAAGUCGAGUUGGCUUAGGGAUACGUUCGUUGGGUAGGGGAGCGUUCUGUAAGCCUGUGAAGGUGUGUCGUGAGGCAUGCUGGAGGUAUCAGAAGUGCGAAUGCUGACAUAAGUAACGAUAAAGCGGGUGAAAAGCCCGCUCGCCGGAAGACCAAGGGUUCCUGUCCAACGUUAAUCGGGGCAGGGUGAGUCGACCCCUAAGGCGAGGCCGAAAGGCGUAGUCGAUGGGAAACGGGUUAAUAUUCCCGUACUUGGUGUUACUGCGAAGGGGGGACGGAGAAGGCUAUGUUGGCCGGGCGACGGUUGUCCCGGUUUAAGCGUGUAGGUGUGUGUUCCAGGUAAAUCCGGUUCACUUUAACACUGAGGCGUGACGACGAGGCACUACGGUGCUGAAGCAACAAAUGCCCUGCUUCCAGGAAAAGCCUCUAAGCAUCAGGUAACAUCAAAUCGUACCCCAAACCGACACAGGUGGUCAGGUAGAGAAUACCAAGGCGCUUGAGAGAACUCGGGUGAAGGAACUAGGCAAAAUGGUGCCGUAACUUCGGGAGAAGGCACGCUGACACGUAGGUGAAGUGAUUUACUCAUGGAGCUGAAGUCAGUCGAAGAUACCAGCUGGCUGCAACUGUUUAUUAAAAACACAGCACUGUGCAAACACGAAAGUGGACGUAUACGGUGUGACGCCUGCCCGGUGCCGGAAGGUUAAUUGAUGGGGUCAGCGCAAGCGAAGCUCCUGAUCGAAGCCCCGGUAAACGGCGGCCGUAACUAUAACGGUCCUAAGGUAGCGAAAUUCCUUGUCGGGUAAGUUCCGACCUGCACGAAUGGCGUAAUGAUGGCCAGGCUGUCUCCACCCGAGACUCAGUGAAAUUGAACUCGCUGUGAAGAUGCAGUGUACCCGCGGCAAGACGGAAAGACCCCGUGAACCUUUACUAUAGCUUGACACUGAACAUUGAGCCUUGAUGUGUAGGAUAGGUGGGAGGCUUUGAAGUGUGGACGCCAGUCUGCAUGGAGCCGACCUUGAAAUACCACCCUUUAAUGUUUGAUGUUCUAACGUGGACCCGUAAUCCGGGUUGCGGACAGUGUCUGGUGGGUAGUUUGACUGGGGCGGUCUCCUCCUAAAGAGUAACGGAGGAGCACGAAGGUUGGCUAAUCCUGGUCGGACAUCAGGAGGUUAGUGCAAUGGCAUAAGCCAGCUUGACUGCGAGCGUGACGGCGCGAGCAGGUGCGAAAGCAGGUCAUAGUGAUCCGGUGGUUCUGAAUGGAAGGGCCAUCGCUCAACGGAUAAAAGGUACUCCGGGGAUAACAGGCUGAUACCGCCCAAGAGUUCAUAUCGACGGCGGUGUUUGGCACCUCGAUGUCGGCUCAUCACAUCCUGGGGCUGAAGUAGGUCCCAAGGGUAUGGCUGUUCGCCAUUUAAAGUGGUACGCGAGCUGGGUUUAGAACGUCGUGAGACAGUUCGGUCCCUAUCUGCCGUGGGCGCUGGAGAACUGAGGGGGGCUGCUCCUAGUACGAGAGGACCGGAGUGGACGCAUCACUGGUGUUCGGGUUGUCAUGCCAAUGGCACUGCCCGGUAGCUAAAUGCGGAAGAGAUAAGUGCUGAAAGCAUCUAAGCACGAAACUUGCCCCGAGAUGAGUUCU